CCUACGGGUGGCAGCAGUGGGGAAUAUUGCACAAUGGGGGAAACCCUGAUGCAGCGACGCCGCGUGAGUGAAGAAGUAUUUCGGUACGUAAAGCUCUAUCAGCAGGGAAGAAAAUGACGGUACCUGACCAAGAAGCCCCGGCUAACUACGUGCCAGCAGCCGCGGUAAUACGGAGGGGGCAAGCGUUAUCCGGAUUUACUGGGUGUAAAGGGAGCGUAGACGGCAGCGCAAGUCUGGAGUGAAAUGCCAUGGCUUAACCAUGGGACUGCUUUGGAAACUGUGCGGCUAGAGUGCAGGAGAGGUAAGCGGAAUUCCUAGUGUAGCGGUGAAAUGCGUAGAUAUUAGGAGGAACACCAGUGGCGAAGGCGGCUUACUGGACUGUAACUGACGUUGAGGCUCGAAAGCGUGGGGAGCAAACAGGAUUAGAUACCCUAGUAGUC
rnacentral:rRNA from 1 species